UACGAAGGGCCCGAGCGUUAUCCGGAUUUAUUGGGCUUAAAGGGUGCGUAGGCGGAUUAGUAAGUCAGUGGUGAAAGCCCGUCGCUUAACGGCGGAACUGCCAUUGAUACUGCUAGUCUUGAGUAUGGUUGAGGUGGGCGGAAUGUGUCAUGUAACGGUGAAAUGCUUAGAUAUGACCUAGAACACCAAUGGCGAAGGCAGCUCGCUAAGCCAUAACUGACGCUGAGGCACGAAAGCGUGGGGAGCAAACAGG
rnacentral:rRNA from 1 species